rnacentral:rRNA from 1 species
UACGUAGGGUGCGAGCGUUAAUCGGAAUUACUGGGCGUAAAGCGUGCGUAGACGGUUGCGUAAGUCAGAUGUGAAAGCCCCGGGCUCAACCUGGGAAUUGCAUUUGAGACUGCGUAGCUAGGGUGCGGAAGAGGGAAGCGGAAUUUCCGGUGUAGCGGUGAAAUGCGUAGAUAUCUGGAGGAACACCGGUGGCGAAGGCGGCAUCCUGGACCGAUACUGACGCUGAUGAGCGAAAGCCAGGGGAGCAAACGGG